rnacentral:rRNA from 1 species
AUACGUAGGGUGCGAGCGUUAAUCGGAAUUACUGGGCGUAAAGCGUGCGCAGGUGGUUUUGUAAGUCAGAUGUGAAAUCCCCGGGCUUAACCUGGGAACUGCGUUUGAAACUGCAAGGCUAGAGUGUGGCAGAGGGGGGUGGAAUUCCGCGUGUAGCAGUGAAAUGCGUAGAGAUGUGGAGGAACACCAAUGGCGAAGGCAGCCCCCUGGGUCAACACUGACGCUCAGGCACGAAAGCAUGGGGAGCAAACGGGAUUAGAUACCCCAGUAGUCC